UACAGAGGGUGCGAGCGUUGUUCGGAAUUACUGGGCGUAAAGCGCACGUAGGCGGCUUUCUAAGUCGGGGGUGAAAUCCUGGAGCUCAACUCCAGAACUGCCUUCGAUACUGGAGAGCUCGAGUCCGGGAGAGGUGAGUGGAACUGCGAGUGUAGAGGUGAAAUUCGUAGAUAUUCGCAAGAACACCAGUGGCGAAGGCGGCUCACUGGCCCGGUACUGACGCUGAGGUGCGAAAGCGUGGGGAGCAAACAGG
rnacentral:rRNA from 1 species